GACGAACGCUGGCGGUGUGCUUCACACAUGCAAGUCGAACGAGGUAGCAAUACCUAGUGGCGGACGGGUGAGUAACGCGUGGGAAUCUGCCCAUAGGUGGGGGAUAACUAGCCGAAAGGUUAGCUAAUACCGCAUACGCCGAAAGGUAAAAGGAGUAAUCCGCCUUUGGAUGAGCCCGCGUCCGAUUAGCUAGUUGGUAGAGUAAAAGCCUACCAAGGCGACGAUCGGUAGCUGGUCUGAGAGGAUGAUCAGCCACAAUGGGACUGAGACACGGCCCAUACUCCUACGGGAGGCAGCAGUGGGGGAAUUUUACGCAAUGGGGGGAAACCCUGACGUAGCGACACCGCGUGAAUGAAGAAGCCCUUUGGGGUGUAAAAUUCUGUCGGCUGGGAAGAAAAAAUGACGGCACCAGCAAAGGAAGCAUCGGCUAACUACGUGCCAGCAGCCGCGGUAAU
rnacentral:rRNA from 1 species